GGACCCGCACAACCGGUGGAGCGUGUGGUUUAAUUCGAGACAAAGCGAAAAACCUUACCAGGGUUUGACAUAGUACCGUUUUAUUCUUUUAGAAAUAAGAGAAGAUCCGCAAGGAUGGUAUUACAGGUGUUGCAUGGCUGUCGUCAGCUCGUGCCGUGAGGUGUUCCCUUAAGUGGGGAAACGAGCGCAACCCCCGUCCAAUGUUACAUAUUCAUUGGAAACGGUCUCAGUUUUUCUGAGAAGGAAGGAGGGGAAGACGUCAAGUCCGCACGGCCCUUAUACCCUGGGUUACACACACCCUACAAUGGCGAAAAACAACGUGUCGCAAGCCGGCAACGGCAAGCUAAUCACUCAAAUUUCGCCUCAGUUCAGAUUGGGGUCUGCAACCCGACCCCAUGAAGUCGGAAUCGGUAGUAAUCGCGGAUCAGAAGGCCGCGGUGAAUACGUUCUCGGGUCUU
rnacentral:rRNA from 1 species